rnacentral:rRNA from 1 species
GAUGAACGCUAGCGACAGGCCUAACACAUGCAAGUCGAGGGGCAGCGGAGAGGUAGCAAUACCUUUGCCGGCGACCGGCGCACGGGUGAGUAACACGUAUGCAAUCCACCUGUAACAGGGGGAUAACCCGGAGAAAUCCGGACUAAUACCCCAUAAUAUGGGCGCUCCGCAUGGAGGGUCCAUUAAAGAGAGCAAUUUUGGUUACAGACGAGCAUGCGCUCCAUUAGCCAGUUGGCGGGGUAACGGCCCACCAAAGCGACGAUGGAUAGGGGUUCUGAGAGGAAGGUCCCCCACAUUGGAACUGAGACACGGUCCAAACUCCUACGGGAGGCAGCAGUGAGGAAUAUUGGUCAAUGGUCGGCAGACUGAACCNGCCAAGUCGCGUGAGGGAAGACCGGCCCUACGGGGUUGUAAAACCUCUUUUGUCGGAGAGU